rnacentral:rRNA from 1 species
UACGUAGGGUGCAAGCGUUAAUCGGAAUUACUGGGCGUAAAGCGUGCGCAGGCGGUGAUGUAAGACAGAUGUGAAAUCCCCGGGCUCAACCUGGGAACUGCAUUUGUGACUGCAUCGCUGGAGUGCGGCAGAGGGGGAUGGAAUUCCGCGUGUAGCAGUGAAAUGCGUAGAUAUGCGGAGGAACACCGAUGGCGAAGGCAAUCCCCUGGGCCUGCACUGACGCUCAUGCACGAAAACGUGGGGAGCAAACAGG